rnacentral:rRNA from 1 species
UACGAAGGGUGCAAGCGUUAAUCGGAAUUACUGGGCGUAAAGGGUGCGUAGGCGGUUCGUUAAGUCUGUUGUGAAAUCCCCAGGCUUAACCUGGGAACUGCAUCCGAUACUGGAUGGCUUGAAUCCGGGAGAGGGAUGCAGAAUUCCAGGUGUAGCGGUGAAAUGCGUAGAUAUCUGGAGGAAUACCGGUGGCGAAGGCGGCAUCCUGGACCGGCAUUGACGCUGAGUGAGCGAAAGCCAGGGGAGCAAACGGG